rnacentral:rRNA from 1 species
GAUGAACGCUGGCGGCGUGCCUAAUACAUGCAAGUCGAGCGAACAGACAAGGAGCUCUCUCCUCUACCGUUAGCGGCGGACGGGUGAGUAACACGUGGAUCACCUACCUCUAAGACUGGGAUAACUUCGGGAAACAGGUGCUAAUAACGGAUCAUAUAUUGAACCGCAUGAUUCAAUAGAGAAAGACGGUUUUGGUGUCUCUUAUAGCUGGAUCCGGGUCGCAUUAGCUAGUUGGUAAGGUAACGGCUUACCAAGGCAACGAUGCGUAGCCGAGCUGAGAGGAUGAUCGGCCACACUGGAACUGAGACACGGUCCAGACUCCUACGGGAGGCAGCAGUGGGGAAUAUUCCGCAAUGGGCGAAAGCCUGACCCAGCCACGCCGCGUGGGUGAUGAAGGUCUUCGGAUCGUAAAACUCUGUUAUUGGGGAAGAACAGAAGUGUGAUAAAACAUGCACGUCUUGACGGUACCUAAACAGAAAGCCACGGCUAACUACGUG